rnacentral:rRNA from 1 species
GACGAACGCUGGCGGCGUGCUUAACACAUGCAAGUCGAACGGAAAGGCCCUGCUUUUGUUGGGUGCUCGAUUGGCGAACGGGUGAGUAACACGUGAGUAACCUGCCCUUGACUUUGGGAUAACUUCAGGAAACUGGGGCUAAUACCGGAUAGGAGCUCCUGCUGCAUGGUGUGGGUUGGAAAGUUUCGGCGGUUGGGGAUGGACUCGCGGCUUAUCAGCUUGUUGGUGGGGUAGUGGCUUACCAAGGCUUUGAAGGGUAGCCGGCCUGAGAGGGUGACCGGCGACAGUGGGACUGAGAGACGGCACAGACGCCUACGGGAGGCAGCAGUGGGGAAUAUUGCACAAUGGGCGGAAGCCUGAUGCAGAAACGUCGCGUGCGGGAUGACGGCCUUCGGGUUGUAAACCGAUUUCGCCUGUGACGAAGCGUGAGUGACGGUAAUGGGUAAAGAAGCACCGGCUAACUACGUG